ACUGAGUUUAGGCCUCGAAGAGGACUACAUGGAGAGAGUAUUGGGCGAGCAGGAGCAACACAUGGCUAUCAACUACUACCCGCAAUGCCCGGAGCCGGAGCUCACCUACGGUCUCCCAGCACAUACUGACCCCAACGGCCUCACCAUCCUCCUCCAAGACCCAAAUGUAUCUGGUCUCCAGGUGCUCAGAAACGGUACAUGGCACAAGGUGGAUCCAAUACCCAAAGCUUUGGUCAUCAACAUUGGAGAUCAACUACAGGCACUAAGCAAUGGAAAGUAUAGGAGCGUGUGGCAUCGGGCGGUCGUGAACAGUAAUAUCGAAAGGAUGUCGGUGGCAUCAUUCCUCGCCCCUUGUAACACUGCAAUCAUCAGCCCCCCAGAGAAGCUCAUCGGGGAGGGCUCACCAGCUGUCUACAGGGCCUUCACAUACGAUGAAUACUACAAGAAGUUCUGGAGUAGGAAUCUUGAUCAGGAGCACUGCUUGGAGCUUUUCAGGACCCCAAACUGAGG
rnacentral:misc_RNA from 1 species